ensembl:lncRNA
AUGGUGGUAAUUGAUUUUUUUUAUAUGUUUGUAGGGACCGAUGGGCCCCAUGGGACCACGAGGACCAGUGGGAGAAAGAGGUCUCCCUGGUUUCCCUGGACCUGCCGGACCCCCUGUGAGUCUUUUCUUCCUUUAGGAAAACAAUCAGAUCCUUCACUGCUAAAUUUGUUCAUGUUCUGUUGACAUUGUGUUGUCUUAUCAUUGUUUUCUCGUCCUUUUGAUUGUAUUUACUUACAAAAAAACAAAAAAACAAACAAAAACAAAAGAUCUUAGAAUGCCUUUAAGACAAAUGAUUCCUUUUGAAGAUUUGACUUUUGUGUUUUCUUUUUCUAGGGACCAGAAACUGUUGGACCUCCAGUAUGUGAAAAACCUGGUCUUACUGUGAUUGUCUCAAUCUCAGCUUUUAAUUUUAUCUUUAGACUUUUUAACACCCUUUUUUACACAUGCAGGGACUCCCAGGGAAGCCUGGUACUCCAGGGGACGAGGGAAACAUCGGACCAGAGGGUCCUCCUGGACCAAGAGGAGGAAUUGGGCUCCCAGGCCCACCAGGACCUCCAGGAUUACCAGGCCCACAAGGUGCUGGGAACCCUGAGGGAAGUGGUGAGACUUGCCAGACAACAUGUCCAGCUGGACCGCAGGGACUGCCUGGUCUGCCGGGGAUGAAGGUGAGUCCCCAACCCUAA